UACGAGAGAGACUCUGAUGGCCGAUAUA
rnacentral:sRNA from 1 species